rnacentral:rRNA from 1 species
GGGUUGUGAGGUUAAGCGACUAAGCGUACACGGUGGAUGCCCUGGCAGUCAGAGGCGAUGAAGGACGUGCUAAUCUGCGAUAAGCGUCGGUAAGGUGAUAUGAACCGUUAUAACCGGCGAUUUCCGAAUGGGGAAACCCAGUGUGUUUCGACACACUAUCAUUAACUGAAUCCAUAGGUUAAUGAGGCGAACCGGGGGAACUGAAACAUCUAAGUACCCCGAGGAAAAGAAAUCAACCGAGAUUCCCCCAGUAGCGGCGAGCGAACGGGGAGCAGCCCAGAGCCUGAAUCAGUGUGUGUGUUAGUGGAAGCGUCUGGAAAGGCGCGCGAUACAGGGUGACAGCCCCGUACACAAAAAUGCACAUGCUGUGAGCUCGAUGAGUAGGGCGGGACACGUGGUAUCCUGUCUGAAUAUGGGGGGACCAUCCUCCAAGGCUAAAUACUCCUGACUGACCGAUAGUGAACCAGUACCGUGAGGGAAAGGCGAAAAGAACCCCGGCGAGGGGAGUGAAAAAGAACCUGAAACCGUGUACGUACAAGCAGUGGGAGCACGCUUAGGCGUGUGACUGCGUACCUUUUGUAUAAUGGGUCAGCGACUUAUAUUCUGUAGCAAGGUUAACCGAAUAGGGGAGCCGAAGGGAAACCGAGUCUUAACUGGGCGUUAAGUUGCAGGGUAUAGACCCGAAACCCGGUGAUCUAGCCAUGGGCAGGUUGAAGGUUGGGUAACACUAACUGGAGGACCGAACCGACUAAUGUUGAAAAAUUAGCGGAUGACUUGUGGCUGGGGGUGAAAGGCCAAUCAAACCGGGAGAUAGCUGGUUCUCCCCGAAAGCUAUUUAGGUAGCGCCUCGUGAAUUCAUCUCCGGGGGUAGAGCACUGUUUCGGCAAGGGGGUCAUCCCGACUUACCAACCCGAUGCAAACUGCGAAUACCGGAGAAUGUUAUCACGGGAGACACACGGCGGGUGCUAACGUCCGUCGUGAAGAGGGAAACAACCCAGACCGCCAGCUAAGGUCCCAAAGUCAUGGUUAAGUGGGAAACGAUGUGGGAAGGCCCAGACAGCCAGGAUGUUGGCUUAGAAGCAGCCAUCAUUUAAAGAAAGCGUAAUAGCUCACUGGUCGAGUCGGCCUGCGCGGAAGAUGUAACGGGGCUAAACCAUGCACCGAAGCUGCGGCAGCGACGCUGAUGCGUUGUUGGGUAGGGGAGCGUUCUGUAAGCCUGCGAAGGUGUGCUGUGAGGCAUGCUGGAGGUAUCAGAAGUGCGAAUGCUGACAUAAGUAACGAUAAAGCGGGUGAAAAGCCCGCUCGCCGGAAGACCAAGGGUUCCUGUCCAACGUUAAUCGGGGCAGGGUGAGUCGACCCCUAAGGCGAGGCCGAAAGGCGUAGUCGAUGGGAAACAGGUUAAUAUUCCUGUACUUGGUGUUACUGCGAAGGGGGGACGGAGAAGGCUAUGUUGGCCGGGCGACGGUUGUCCCGGUUUAAGCGUGUAGGCUGGUUUUCCAGGCAAAUCCGGAAAAUCAAGGCUGAGGCGUGAUGACGAGGCACUACGGUGCUGAAGCAACAAAUGCCCUGCUUCCAGGAAAAGCCUCUAAGCAUCAGGUAACAUCAAAUCGUACCCCAAACCGACACAGGUGGUCAGGUAGAGAAUACCAAGGCGCUUGAGAGAACUCGGGUGAAGGAACUAGGCAAAAUGGUGCCGUAACUUCGGGAGAAGGCACGCUGAUAUGUAGGUGAGGUCCCUCGCGGAUGGAGCUGAAAUCAGUCGAAGAUACCAGCUGGCUGCAACUGUUUAUUAAAAACACAGCACUGUGCAAACACGAAAGUGGACGUAUACGGUGUGACGCCUGCCCGGUGCCGGAAGGUUAAUUGAUGGGGUUAGCGCAAGCGAAGCUCUUGAUCGAAGCCCCGGUAAACGGCGGCCGUAACUAUAACGGUCCUAAGGUAGCGAAAUUCCUUGUCGGGUAAGUUCCGACCUGCACGAAUGGCGUAAUGAUGGCCAGGCUGUCUCCACCCGAGACUCAGUGAAAUUGAACUCGCUGUGAAGAUGCAGUGUACCCGCGGCAAGACGGAAAGACCCCGUGAACCUUUACUAUAGCUUGACACUGAACAUUGAGCCUUGAUGUGUAGGAUAGGUGGGAGGCUUUGAAGUGUGGACGCCAGUCUGCAUGGAGCCGACCUUGAAAUACCACCCUUUAAUGUUUGAUGUUCUAACGUUGACCCGUAAUCCGGGUUGCGGACAGUGUCUGGUGGGUAGUUUGACUGGGGCGGUCUCCUCCUAAAGAGUAACGGAGGAGCACGAAGGUUGGCUAAUCCUGGUCGGACAUCAGGAGGUUAGUGCAAUGGCAUAAGCCAGCUUGACUGCGAGCGUGACGGCGCGAGCAGGUGCGAAAGCAGGUCAUAGUGAUCCGGUGGUUCUGAAUGGAAGGGCCAUCGCUCAACGGAUAAAAGGUACUCCGGGGAUAACAGGCUGAUACCGCCCAAGAGUUCAUAUCGACGGCGGUGUUUGGCACCUCGAUGUCGGCUCAUCACAUCCUGGGGCUGAAGUAGGUCCCAAGGGUAUGGCUGUUCGCCAUUUAAAGUGGUACGCGAGCUGGGUUUAGAACGUCGUGAGACAGUUCGGUCCCUAUCUGCCGUGGGCGCUGGAGAACUGAGGGGGGCUGCUCCUAGUACGAGAGGACCGGAGUGGACGCAUCACUGGUGUUCGGGUUGUCAUGCCAAUGGCACUGCCCGGUAGCUAAAUGCGGAAGAGAUAAGUGCUGAAAGCAUCUAAGCACGAAACUUGCCCCGAGAUGAGUUCUCCCUGACUCCUUGAGAGUCCUGAAGGAACGUUGAAGACGACGACGUUGAUAGGCCGGGUGUGUAAGCGCAGCGAUGCGUUGAGCUAACCGGUACUAAUGAACCGUGAGGCUUAACCUUACAACGCCGAAGGUGUUU